AAGGCGUAACGAUUUGGGCACUGUCUCAACAACAGACUCGGUGAAAUUGUAAUUCCGGUGAAGAUGCCGGAUACCUGCGACAGGCCGGAAAGACCCCAUGGAGCUUUACUGUAGCUUGACAUUGGGUUUUGGUACUACAUGUACAGGAUAGGUGGGAGGCUUUGAAACCAGGACGCCAGUUUUGGCGGAGCCAUCCUUGGGAUACCACCCUU
rnacentral:rRNA from 1 species